rnacentral:misc_RNA from 1 species
GUCGGAUCAUACUUCAUUACGUAUCAUGGCUUUUCUCUUCAGCCAGUGGUCCAGUUUUCUCAACAGUGAUGCCACUUACAGAGUCAGCUCUCUCGUUGGCAAAUAUUACAUUGAAAAAUGCAUUGACAGCUGUUGCAAAUUUGUCAUCAGAUGGUAAAGAAAGUGGACUACUUGAUCAGGUUGCAGAAAUGUUGGAAGUCAA